UUUGGAAUUUGUAAAAAUUAACCAUUCCUGUCAAAACCAUGUCACAUUUCUAAGACAAUAUACUAGAUGAAGAAAGGAGGAGUGAAACAUGGCAGAACCCAGGAUAAAGAAGCUGGUACAGUAAAGAAAUUAGAGCAAAUAACGAAAAAAAGAAAGUGGGAAUUCUCAGCAGAGAGAAGAAUAGUCUCCUCUUGCAAAACACAACAGUCUUGGC